CAGGAACGCUGGCGGCGUGCCUAAUACAUGCAAGUCGAGCGGAUGACGGAGGAGCUUGCUCCUCCUGAUUCAGCGGCGGACGGGUGAGUAACACGUGGGCAACCUGCCCUGUAGAUUGGGAUAACUCCGGGAAACCGGGGCUAAUACCGAAUAAUCCUUCGGACCUCAUGGUCCGAUGUUGAAAGACGGCAUCUCGCUGUCACUCCAGGAUGGGCCCGCGGCGCAUUAGCUAGUUGGUGAGGUAACGGCUCACCAAGGCCACGAUGCGUAGCCGACCUGAGAGGGUGAUCGGCCACACUGGGACUGAGACACGGCCCAGACUCCUACGGGAGGCAGCAGUAGGGAAUCUUCCACAAUGGACGAAAGUCUGAUGGAGCAACGCCGCGUGAGUGAAGAAGGUUCUCGGAUCGUAAAACUCUGUUGUGAGGGAAGAACAAGUACCGGAGUAACUGCCGGUGCCUUGACGGUACCUCAUUAGAAAGCCACGGCUAACUACGUGCCAGCAGCCGCCGUAAUAC
rnacentral:rRNA from 1 species